AUCGGUGUCUCAUAAUCAAUAAUGAGACUGAGUUUUUUAUCCAAUGAAAAGACACUCUCUUAAUUAUUCAUGACACCACGUGGAUCUUUCUAACGACAGACAUGUCAAGCAAGCUGUGAAAUCGCGCAGUAGAUGAGUGAGGCAAUCAUGGGACGCAAGUGUUUGUUUUCGUGGUGCAAAAGUUCGAAUGGGUUGCAUAUGUUUCCCCGUGAUGAUGCCAGGGCUAGACUCUGGCUGCGGGCAGUUGGUUGGCCAUCAACCACGGACACAUCUAGAUUAUAUGUGCGCAGCAAACAUUUUUCGAGAGAGAGCUUCGAGAAUUGGAGAAUGGUGGACUUUGGCCUUGUUGACUACCAAUGCAAGUUGCGUCUUGCGAUUGAUGCGGUGCCAAGUCCCGAGGACUUUUCUAUCCUUUCAGAGCCUAAACUGUGUUUUGAGAUGGCGUGUCAGACCGAGAAGCCCGCCAAAAAAGAUGCUGCAUGUCAAACCCAUCCCGACAUGAAGCAUAUGUCAACGCAACAUCGCUGGAAACCUGAACGAAGGAGCAAGAGCACUCAGGUGAAGCAACAGAAAAGGCAUGUUGGUUGCAACACUUCCACACCAUUUAUA